GACGAACGCUGGCGGCGUGCUUAACACAUGCAAGUCGAACGGAAAGGCUCCAGCUUGCUGGAGUACUCGAGUGGCGAACGGGUGAGUAACACGUGGGUAAUCUGCCCUUCACUCUGGGAUAAGCCUGGGAAACUGGGUCUAAUACUGGAUAUGACCUUUCUCCUUAUGGGGUUUGGUGGAAAGUUUUUCGGUGUAGGAUGAGCCCGCGGCCUAUCAGCUUGUUGGUGGGGUGAUGGCCUACCAAGGCGACGACGGGUAGCCGGCCUGAGAGGGUGAUCGGCCACAUUGGGACUGAGAUACGGCCCAGACUCCUACGGGAGGCAGCAGUGGGGAAUAUUGCACAAUGGGCGGAAGCCUGAUGCAGCGACGCCGCGUGAGGGAUGACGGCCUUCGGGUUAUAAACCUCUUUCAGCAGGGACGAAGCGUAAGUGACGGUACCUGCAGAAGAAGCACCGGCUAACUAUGUG
rnacentral:rRNA from 1 species